UUGUGCUGGGGUCUCACUGUGAGACUGACCUGUCGAAACAGACCCCGUUCAGACAGUGAGAAACUGCCACAUGAGAGUAGGUAAGAAGAAUCUAGAGCAUGUAGUCUAGAGAAAAACAAUUCAGGAGUGACACACUACUCAAGGUCCUCCACAUUCCUGAGGGCAGACUCAGUGUGUGGACAUUACAGGGAGAGAGAUUUCAGCUUCAAACCCAAAAGAAAUGUUUAAUAAUUCUGAGCGGGCGUUGGCUGAAUCAGGACACAAUGCAUUCUCUGGAGCUGGUGUCUCCACGCAGAAGCCAGGACAUUACUCAGGACUCCCGAAUGGGGCUGAGCACGUGAGCUGCUAAAACUGCGUGUGGGGGAGCUAGCUCCCCAUCUCAUCCCGUCACAUCGUGGAGGAAGGGGCGUCUGCAACAGGGGCCCUAAGGCUGGGGAAGGAGGAGAUGCCUUUUGCUUCUGGAGGACGGGUGCCAUGCUCAGAGCAGCCCAACCAUGACUCACACAUCCAAAUGAGGCUGCUGCCUUAUAAGGAGGCACUUUGAAGGCUAUUAUUCCAAGGAGCCUGCCACCUCCCGAAGCAUUUUUAGAACUCCUGCUUUGAAUCACUACCAGUGUCAAGAUGGUGAAUCCUCACACCUCCUGGGAGCAGUUAUUUUUGGAAACAAUGAAAGUCAGGAAAGUAUCCUUGGGAACAGAGGUGGUGCUGUGCAGAGGCGAGCCUUCAGGGUUUCAAGUGCUUGGACCUCGCCUAGCUCUGGCCGGGUGCCGGGAAUUGAGAUGGUGUCAGGUGACAAGAGGCCACCUUCCCCGCAGCUGGCCUCCUCCUCAGGCUGUGAUGAAGUGGUCAGAAUACCUGCAACGUCCACACAACCACGAUGAACGCAGACUCCCCAGCAACCACAAUUGCAGCCACCACACUGUAGGGCCGUAUGACCAACAUCAGCAAUCGCUACGGUAAACUGCAGCAAGCACACAAGCACACAACAGCAGUCGCAACCACACCAUCUGCGCGACCACACAACACCCACACAAGCACCGCGACCUGCAGCAACCACUGCGUCAGUGGCCAUUUAUCAACUCUGUCUCAUGUUCCGACUUGAGACCCGGAAAGGGGGUCUGCCAUGCCUCCCGAGACAGAUCAGCAGAGACCUGGGAGGCUUCUCGGACCUUUGGGUGGGAAUGAGCCAGUGGGAACUUGGAUCAGCCUCGCUUUCCGGUCUCUACUUGGCUUGUAAAGGCAGAACUACAUUAGGACGUCAGACACCUGCAGCGUUGUACUUUCAGGUGCAGUACAAGGGACGUCCAAGCCUGCACCCACUGCGGAAGUUCUUCAAAGGACGAUGCUGACCUUAUCAGCGUGUGGUAAAACAAGGUCUGUUCACAGGUCAGGGACACAGAGUGAUCAAAACAGAGUGCCCUUCAAACAAACACUUGCAUGCAAAUAUUAAUUGCAACGUCACUUAAAAUAGUGGAAGUUACAAACGACCCAAAUGUCCAUCAGCUGACCAAUGGCUAAAGAAAACGCGGCAUAUCCAUACGUGGAGUAGUGUCCAGCCAUAAAAGAAACAGAAUAGUGCUUUGAUCUACAACACGCAUGGGCCUCGAAAACAUUAUGGUAUACAUGAAACCCAGAGUUCCUGCCCCUGCAUUCAAGUGAGAGGAGACAGAUGAUUAACAAAUAAAUAUAUAUUUAAGACCAUCCUGAUCUCAACCCUGUACGGUGCCGUGAGGUUGGGGCAUGGGAGAAGAGGAGGAGGGGGGCCGUGUUCCCUUCAUGAUCUCCUUUUACAUGUGUUCCCUCCAACUGGUCACCACCCUGUGUCACCACUUGCACUUUGCAAAAGAGGAAGCUGAUGCAGAAGGCGUGAGAAGUCUGAGGAAGAGACAAAGCUGAGAGGUGAGGAAACUGAGGCCAACAAAGAUGCAGAACUUUCCCAGUGUCACCAGAAAGUAAGUGGCAGAGCCAGGACUGGAGGACUGGAGGAAAGGCCCUCAAGUAACCAGCCUCAAAAGCAGGAUGCAGCUAAUUGAAUGGGAUGGUGAUGAUUCCUUCUUCAGUCGGUCAAACAGCUAAAUCCGCCUUCGAACCUGCGGCCGCCGGGCUCCCGUGACUUCCGUUUCUGCCUGUUUCAGGUUUGGGGGAUGUGCAGCCACACACCUUCCCUGUCUGUGCUCCAAGCCCACUAACAGCCCGUUCACACCACUCCAAGUUCAUUACUGCAGAGAGGUGGGAGCACGUGAGGGGAGUGAACCGGAGACUUAGGACUCAACUGCACCAGGCACCUGAUGAAAAGUGAAGAAGCAGGACGCCCGGCCGGCUCAGUUAAGUGCCAGAUCCUUGAUUUCUGCUUGGGUCAUGAUGCCAGAGUUGUGGGAUUGAGCUGUGCGUCAGGCUCUGGGCUGAGCAUGGAGCCUGCU